rnacentral:piRNA from 1 species
AACAUGUCUGUUGGUGAACCCUUUA